UCUAUCGGAAGCAAAGUCAGAGCAGGUGGCCCGGGCAGCGGCCACUCUUCUCGCUGGGUGCUAGGGGUGUUCCCAACUCCAGGAGCACUGCCAGACCAGGACCCAGGUCGUCCCAGGGGCGGGGGUCGAGGAGAACUUCAACCCCACUUCUGGCGAACCCGCAACGGCGGUGGGAAUAGGAAAAUUCCCCUGAGUCCAGCAGCCCAGGGUUUGGCUCCCUCUGCUAACCGAGCUGUACUGCCUCCCUCCUCUGCGACCCCACUGUGGGCUGCCGUGUUCAAGCCUUUGGAGAGCUGGUGGCUCAAGUAAGCAGAUGCUCACCCACAGAGGGCAUUGCCCAAUUCCAGUGAAGUUUUGGGUCAGCAAUGACGGCCAAACAGCUAGCACCUUCCACAUGGAGUGGGUCCAGUGAUGAAGCUUAUCAGAGACAUUAGAAGCCUGUAUGAGCACAUAAGAAGAGGAUCCUCAGGAGCUGACAAGACAAUACCCAGUAACAUCCGCUGACUCCCCCUCAGAAGUGCUGCUGCCUUCGUAUCUACAAGAGCCUGGUGUUCAACAUAAAAUCUUCAACAACAACAAAGAAUGAAAGCGAUUGUUUCAUCUCUGUUUGUCUUACUUUUACAAAACGACAGUUCUUUCCCAGCACUUCCUUCUGACACCGCCCUGUAAUAAGGGGAGCAAUUUCAGGGGAGUACAUAAACUGAAUCUAUUUGCUGUGCCUGGAGGGGGUGGUUAUGAGAGACACUCGACCCAUUAGGGGCUACAGCUGCGGUUGUCUCCAAGGCUUCUGCACCUCUCAUGUGCACAGAAGGAAGACAACACGCAACUGAUUUGUAAAGGGCAAAUCUCCUUUGCAAAAACGCAUCAGAUGAUGGGUUGGUGGCUCCUCCUGACUCCUGCUAAUACCCUGCAAAGCAAACUAAAUGUAAGAUUUAUAUGCAUUUCAUAUUGUUAUGAGUCUUUAAAGUGAAAAUGAGUUUUACCUAAUAUCCUGUCAAAGCUGGGGAAAACAACCUUGUAAUUUAUUUUAUUAUACAAAUCUGAAAGGCCA